rnacentral:rRNA from 1 species
UACGUAGGGGGCAAGCGUUGUCCGGAUUUAUUGGGCGUAAAGAGCGUGUAGGCGGCCAUACAGGUCAGCUGUGAAAACUCGAGGCUCAACCUCGAGACGUCGGUUGAAACCGUAUGGCUAGAGUCCGGAAGAGGAGAGUGGAAUUCCCGGUGUAGCGGUGAAAUGCGCAGAUAUCGGGAAGAACACCCGUGGCGAAGGCGGCUCUCUGGGACAGUACUGACGCUGAGACGCGAAAGCGUGGGGAGCGAACAGG